UCAGCAGCCGCGGUAAUUCCAGCUCUGUAAGCGUAUACCAAAGUUGUUGCAGUUAAAACGCUCGUAGUCGGAGGUUGGCGGGCAGUCCAGGGCGUCCUCACGGACGGAUCGGGAGUGGCCGCCUUUGUGGAUGGGGGCCCAGUGGAGCUUUACUGCGUCACUGUGGUCGCUGCCACCGUUUACUGUGAAAAAAUUAGAGUGUUCAAAGCAGGCGUUUGCCAUGAAUACAUUAGCAUGGAAUAAUAGAAUAGGACCUGUUUCCUGUUUUGUUGGUUUGUGAGGAUCGGGUAAUGAUUAAGAGGGACGGUUGGGGGCAUUUGUAUUCCGGCGUCAGAGGUGAAAUUCUUGGAUUGGCGGAAGACAAACGGCUGCGAAAGCGUCUGCCAAGGACGUUUUCAUUGAUCAAGAACGAAAGUAAGGGGAUCGAAGACGAUCAGAUACCGUCGUAGUCUUUACUAUAAACGAUGAGGACUGGGGAUCGGGUAGGACUGUAUUUUGGCCUACCCGGCACCCUUCGGGAAACCAAAGUGUUUGCUUUCUGGGGGGAGUAUGGUCGCAAGGCUGAAACUUAAAGGAAUUGACGGAAGGGCAUCACCGGGUGUGGAGCCUGCGGCUUAAUUUGACUCAACACGGGA
rnacentral:rRNA from 1 species